AACGAACGCUGGCGGCAUGCCUAACACAUGCAAGUCGAACGAGACCUUCGGGUCUAGUGGCGCACGGGUGCGUAACGCGUGGGAACCUGCCCUUAGGUUCGGAAUAACUCCCCGAAAGGGGUGCUAAUACCGGAUAAUGUCUUCGGACCAAAGAUUUAUCGCCUUUGGAUGGGCCCGCGUUGGAUUAGCUAGUUGGUAGGGUAAAAGCCUACCAAGGCGACGAUCCAUAGCUGGUCUGAGAGGAUGAUCAGCCACACUGGGACUGAGACACGGCCCAGACUCGCAGGGGGGGCAGGACUGAGGAUUAUCGCACGCGCGCACACUCCCUGAUCCAAUACGGCAGCGUCGGGUCAGAAUGCCUUGGGCUUGUAAUUGUCUUCCCACCAGGAUAAUAACGCCAGCAGCGGAAGCACCACCCCCUCCCCCCCCCGCGCCAGCAGCGGCGCUAAUAACCGGAGCAGCAUCCUCCUAACC
rnacentral:rRNA from 1 species